rnacentral:tmRNA from 1 species
GGGGCCGUAAUGGUUUCGACAGGUUGGCGAAAGCUAAUUUGUGAUACAGGUCGAGAGUGAGUCCCCUCUCGUAAAUCAAGGCUCAAAUCUAAAUAUAGAUGCAAACAACAUCGUAAAAUUCGAGCGUCAGGCAGUAUUUGCCUAAGCCCAAACUGAGGCUUGCUCGCUUUUAGUCCGACUCCGUUAACGGCUAAAACGAAACCCCAACGGAUGCACCUUUUAGUUACUUUCAGUUGACUGAUUGCGUAAAGACUUUACUGGAACAUCCUACUAUCAGGGAUAAUUGAUAGUUCCUGUUCUUGGGAUUAUAAGAACUAAGCCUGUGAAUGAGCAGAAAGUCAAUAUCCAGUCUGGACAGCAGUUCGACUCUGCUCGGCUCCACUU